AUUGAACGCUGGCGGCAGGCCUAACACAUGCAAGUCGAACGAGUGGCGGACGGGUGAGUAAUGUCUGGGAAACUGCCUGAUGGAGGGGGAUAACUACGGGAAACGGUAGCUAAUACCGCAUACCAUCAGAUGUGCCCAGAGGGGAUUGGCGUGGUGGUGGGGUAACGGCUCACCAAGGGGACGUGCCCUAGCUGGUCUGAGAGGAUGACCAGGAACACUGGACCUGGGACACGGUCCAGACUCCUACGGGAGGCAGCAGUGGGGAGUAGUGCACAAUGGGCGCAAGCCGGAGGCAGCCAUGCGGCGUGUAGGGAGAAGGCCUUCGGGUUGUAAAGUACUUUCAGCGGGGAGGCGUUACCCGCAGAAGAAGCACCGGCUAACUCCGUGCCAGCAGCCGCGGUAAUAC
rnacentral:rRNA from 1 species